GUGUAAAAAAAUUGGACUCAGUGUGAUUCCUCUCAUUUUGAAACAAAGAGUGCGGUGGAUACUGUGUUGGCAGAUUCUGAGUGUUAUGGCCUGGCCGGCUCAGAUGUUCGAAUGUCCUGUUUCGUUAACAAGGCUUUAGUAAAUGUUGGUGGUGAACUUGCAAAGGUUGUCCCUGGUCGAGUUUCAACAGAAGUGGAUGCUUGUCUUACAUAUGACACACACAGCAUUGUUAGGAAGGUGUGCUUGGAUGCUGAAUUGAAUGGCCAAAACUAGGUCAAUCUAGACAUAGAAAAUGCGAAUGCUUAUCCCCCAUGCCUUGUGGAUAUGGACAUUGAGAAGGGAAAUUCAGAGACACCUAAAACCAAUGAUGAAGAUGUGGAAAAAUUGAAGUUUGAGGGUCCGCUAACUCAUUUGCAGAAGGCAUUGCAGAGACAGAUUAGCUUACAAAUAGGGGAGAAGGUUGUGCAGCUUUUAAUGAAUAGCCUUGUGUCACCCAAAUUCCAUUCUAGAGUUGAUUUUACCAUCAACAAAAAGAGGGGGUUGUGGGUCAACACUGGAGGUAUAAUCUACUUUUAUAGUUUAUUUUGCACAACCUGAGCCUUUUGUGGACAGACAUAAUUUGACUUGCAACUGCCAUACGUAUGUUGAAUAGAGAAUGUUGGUUGUUUCUGCUAUACAUAUGCUUCAGUCUCUCUUCUGCUUCCUUGGAUGUGUAACCAAACAAUUAGGGAGGACUUCACCUCUCCACAUAAAAUUCACAAUGGCCAGGAUAUACAGUUAUUGUUUUCUGUAUCUAUUUCAAUUAUAAUUUGGUCCAUCUGCAUCAAAGUUGUGUCCAAUGAGCUUGUCUUUUAACCAUCAUUUGUUUUUGCAGAGUUACAAUCGGGAUCUUUUCUUAUUUCUCUACUUCCUUCUCAUCAUAGUUUCAGCAAUUACUUCUUUCAAGAUUCAUCAUGAUAAGUCACCAAUCUCAAGAAAAUCCAUACUGUAUCUGAACAGGCAUCAAACUGAAGAGUGGAAAGGUUGGAUGCAGGUUAGUCAGUUUUUAAGAUGACAUGUCUAUUUCUUAGAAUUGUCUAAUUUAUUGUUACUUGUUUUCAGUGUAAAAGAAACAAUUUAUUUCCUCUGUGUUUGUUUCUAGUCUCUUGUGAUUUCUUUGGAAGUUUGAGCUCUAAUCAAUAUAAUUCCCUCCCACUCCUUUGUGUUUCUCUACCUGGAAACAUUUCCUGUCUUGUCUGCAUCUUGUAGU